rnacentral:rRNA from 1 species
AUUGAACGCUAGCGGGAUGCCUUACACAUGCAAGUCGAACGGAGUGGCGAACGGGUGAGUAAUGUAUCGGAACGUGCCCAGUAGCGGGGGAUAACUACGCGAAAGCGUAGCUAAUACCGCAUACUAUUGGAGCGGCCGAUAUCGGAUUAGCUAGUUUGUGGGGUAAAGGCUCACCAAGGCGGCGAUCCGUAGCUGGUUUGCGAGGACGACCAGCCACACUGAGACUGAGACACGGCCCAGACUCCUACGGGAGGCAGCAGUGGGGAAUUUUGGACAAUGGGGGAAACCCUGAUCCAGCCAUCCCGCGUGAGCGAUGAAGGCCUUCGGGUUGUAAAGCCCUUUUGUUGGGAAAGCGGUACCCAAAGAAUAAGCACCGGCUAACUUCGUGCCAGCAGCCGCGGUAAUAC